rnacentral:rRNA from 1 species
AUUGAACGCUGGCGGCAUGCUUUACACAUGCAAGUCGGACGAGUGGCGAACGGGUGAGUAACAUAUCGGAACGUACCGAGUAAUGGGGGAUAACUAAUCGAAAGAUUAGCUAAUACCGCAUAUUAUUCGAUGGGCCGAUAUCUGAUUGGCUGGUUGGUGGGGUAAAGGACUACCAAGGCGACGAUCUGUCGCUGGUCUGAGAGGAUGAACCGUCAAAUGGGGACGGAGACACGGCCCAGACUCCUACGGGAGGCAGCAGUGGGGAAUCUUGGACAAGGGGCGCAAGCCUGAUCCAGCCAUGCGGCGUGUCUGAAGAAGGCCUUCGGGUUGUAAAGGACUUUAGUCAGGGAAGCGGUACCUGAAGAAUAAGCACCGGCUAACUACGUGCCAGCAGCCGCGGUAAUUC